AAUCAAUAGAGAGAAGAUCCUAGAACUCACCAACAAGAUGAUUGAGCUGCUGACUGGAGAGGUUCCUAUAAGGUGUCAGGAUGUCAGCAUCUAUUUCUCCACAGAGGAGUGGGAAUAUUUAGAAGGACACAAAGAUCUUUACAAGGACGUCACGAUGGAGGAUCACCGGCCCCUCACAUCACCAGUUAAGGAAGAGAGAAGAACACCGGAGAGAUGUCCCAGUCCUCUUCUUCCACAGGAUG